GACGAACGCUGGCGGCGUGCCUAAUACAUGCAAGUCGAACGCUGAAGGAGGAGCUUGCUUCUCCGGAUGAGUUGCGAACGGGUGAGUAACGCGUAGGUAACCUGCCUGGUAGCGGGGGAUAACUAUUGGAAACGAUAGCUAAUACCGCAUAAGAGUAGAUGUUGCAUGACAUUUGCUUAAAAGGUGCAAUUGCAUCACUACCAGAUGGACCUGCGCUGUAUUAGCUAGUUGGUGAGGUAACGGCUCACCAAGGCGACGAUACAUAGCCGACCUGAGAGGGGGAUCGGCCACACUGGGACUGAGACACGGCCCAGACUCCUACGGGAGGCAGCAGUAGGGAAUCUUCGGCAAUGGACGGAAGUCUGACCGAGCAACGCCGCGUGAGUGAAGAAGGUUUUCGGAUCGUAAAGCUCUGUUGUAAGAGAAGAACGAGUGUGAGAGUGGAAAGUUCACACUGUGACGGUAUCUUACCAGAAAGGGACGGCUAACUACGUG
rnacentral:rRNA from 1 species